UUUUUAGCAUAAAUUUCAGCUAUUGUUGGGGAGUUAGGGUCAGAGUGUUCUUGGUCAGGGGACUCUUGGUCAGAUAACUCUUGGUCAGAAGAAGGGGAAAGGUAAGGGGGUGAUUCAUAUUCAGAGGAUGAGGAAGAAGAAGUGCUUUGGUGAGUUUGUAUAGGUUGAGAGGGAGGAAUGAAAGUUCUAGCUAUGUUUAGAACUGGUGUUGGUUGGGAGGUUCUGGUGAUUGAGGGUGGGAUUUCAGAGGUAGUAAAAAUUGGUCGAGAGGAGAGAGGGUUAGAGGAAGCCAUUAUAGAUUCAGAGGAGACAGGAGGAACAGACUUACCGGAAGAGACAUUCAGAGGUGCUGAAGCUUUGCUGCCAGAAGUUUCUCCAAG
rnacentral:lncRNA from 1 species